CCUGAGAUCAUUUUGGUGGGAUUCACUCAGGAAAGAUGUCAAGGAAUAUGUGCAGGCCUGUUUAGUAUGUGCAGUUUCUAAGGUUCCUCAUCAACUUCCUUGUGGAUUAUUACAUCCGCUCCUUGUACCUAGUGUUCCAUGGUCUCAUUUAUCCAUGGAUUUCAUUGUGGAACUUCCUAGUAAUGGUUAUACCACAAUCCUUAUGGUGCUUGACCA